rnacentral:rRNA from 1 species
UACGAAGGGGGCUAGCGUUGCUCGGAGUCACUGGGCGUAAAGGGUUGCGUAGGCGGGUCUUUAAGUCAGGGGUGAAAUCCUGGAGCUCAACUCCAGAACUGCCUUUGAUACUGAAGAUCUUGAGUUCGGGAGAGGUGAGUGGAACUGCGAGUGUAGAGGUGAAAUUCGUAGAUAUUCGCAAGAACACCAGUGGCGAAGGCGGCUCACUGGCCCGAUACUGACGCUCAUGCACGAAAGCGUGGGGAGCAAACAGG